UCUACAGAUGUAUACCCUACCGAUAUCAAAUAUUUCACCACGUUAUCAUUGGUAUAUGAGAAUGCCUUAUAAGUUCUUCUAAUAAGUUCACAAAGUUAAGUGUUAUUUCCAUAGGUAAACGAACGGCCAUAAUGAGCAAUUUGGAGUCAUCAUAUAACUCUUUGGCCUGUAGGAAGUGGUUCUAACAUGUUUUAUUCCGGUUUUGGAUUACUUAACAGAGCAAAGAUGGUACUUUGAGAACAGAAAUGGUGACAGCCUAUGAUUUUGAUUACGUAUGAAGAGCAUGUGUUUCCUCUGUGUAUAACAAAACAACUAGACUAUUGGCCUGAGAAAGACAUUCGCGGGAGAACUUGAUGAAGGUACCAGAAGCAAGAAAACUCUGCCAAAACAGGUGGAUGAAAGAAGCAUUGGAAAAACUAGUAAGUUCCCUGCAUCACAAAGCAAAUGGACCAAGGGGAACUAUUUCCAAGAAUCAAAUGUACCUCCAGUGGUAGAGUAAUUAUUCUUCCAUUGGGAUGUAGAUAUGAAGCAGUGGAUGAACAAUCUGGCUCACGGUUAAAGUAGUUCAGAGUACUGAUGUUGGAAAAGCAGGGAAUUGUCUACCUUUUUUAUAUCUAACUUUUUUUUUUUAAUCUUGGUGAAGGGAUACAUCCCACUAAAUUGAUGCAUGAACCUAUAGGUUCAAGUCAAACCAUCAUGGUUAGUAAAAUGCCUCCUUGUUUGAACCA